GCCAUGAUCGUGUAGUGGUUAGUUCUCUGCCUUCUGCUGCAGCAACCUUGGUUUGAAUCCGAGUCAUGGCA
rnacentral:tRNA from 1 species